GUGAGGGGAUGACUGGUGACAGAGUGAGUUAGGGGGUGACUAGUGACAGAGGGAGGGAUGGGGUGACUAGUGACAGUCACAAUCUCCCUCCCUCUGUCACUAGUCACCCCCUCCCUCAUUCUGUCACUAGUCACCCCCCCCUCACUCUGUCACUUGUCACCCAUUCCCUCCCUCACUCUGUCACUAAUCACCCCCUCACUCUGUCACUACUCACACCCUCCCUCAC